AUUGAACGCUGGCGGCAGGCCUAACACAUGCAAGUCGAGCGGGGCGGCGGACGGGUGAGUAAUGCCUAGGAAUCUGACUGGUAGUGGGGGAUGACGUCCGGAAACGGGCGCUAAUACCGCAUACUAUCAGAUUAGCCUAGGUGGGAUUAGGUAGUUGGUGGGGUAAAGGCCUACAUAGGCGACGAUCCGUAACUGGUCUGAGAGGAUGAUCAGUCACACUGGAACGGAGACACGGUCCAGACUCCUACGUGAGGCAGCAGUGGGGAAUAUUGGACAAUGGGCGAAAGCCUGAUCCAGCCAUGCCGCUUGUGUGAAGAAGGUCUUCGGAUUGUAAAGCACUUUAAGUUGGGAGGCGUUACCAACAGAAUAAGCACCGGCUAACUUCGUGCCAGCCGCCGCGGUAAUUC
rnacentral:rRNA from 1 species